rnacentral:rRNA from 2 species
GGCUCAGAAGGAAAGCUGGCGGCAGGCCUCACACAUGCAAGUCGAACGCCUGUAGCAAUACAGGAGUGGCAGACGGGUGAGUAAUUCGUGGGAACGUGCCCUUCGGUUCGGAAUAACUCAGGGAAACUUGGGCUAAUACCGGAUACGUCCGCGAGGAGAAAGAUUCAUCGCCGAAGGAUCGGCCCGCGUCCGAUUAGCUAGUUGGUGGGGUAAUGGCCCACCAAGGCGACGAUCGGUAGCUGGUCUGAGAGGAUGAUCAGCCUCACUGGGACUGAGACACGGCCCAGACUCCUACGGGAGGCAGCAGUGGG